AGUGAGGAGUGAGGGGGAGGUGGGUGAAACUGUUGACCAGAAAGGACCCUACACUUGUGCUAAUGGUGGGUUACAGGGCCUACUCCAUACCCAUUUGUCUGACCACAUGCAGGCCAUGCAGCAGGCCCUAGACGGCCACACAGGCUCCAGUCAAUGACUGUGACUCCCUGGACUUUACCCCAGGGAAACCCUCAUCCUCACCCAGGCGCAGGCCCAAGGCACAGGUAGACUAGAAGUCUACCUGCACGAGGAAGGAAAAGUCCACAUCCAAUCCCUUAGAAUAUCCUGUUGGCUCUAUCAUCAAAAUAUAUCCAGAAAGCUAUCAUUUCUUACCAUCUUCAUUGCGGUUACUCUGGUCAAAGCCACCAUCAUCUCUUGCCUGCACUAUUGCAGUAGCCUCCUGGUGGGCAGGAUAAUGGUCCUUCAAAGACGUCCAUGUCCUCAUCCCCAGAAUCUCACCUUAAAUGGACUUUGUAGAAGUGUUAAGGAGUUUGAAAUGAUGAGCUUAUUGUGGAUUAUCCAGCUGGCCUCAAUGUAAUCACAAAACAGAAGCAAGAGGUUUCAGAGUCAGAGACUGGCAGGAUGCUGCCCUUCUGCCUUUGAAUGGAGAAAGGUGCCACAAGCCAAGGAAUGCAGGUGGCUUCUAGAAACCGGAAAAGACAAUGGAACAGAUUCUCCCCUAGAGCCUCCGGAAGGACAAAGCCCUGCCAACACUUGAUUUUAGUCCAGUGGGAACCAUAUCAGACUUCUGACCUCCAGAGUGAUAAGAUCUGUGUUGGUUUAAGCCACUAAGUUUCUGAUUCUUUAUUACAGAAGCAAGAGGAACCUAAUACUCUUCCUCAUUGGCCUUCCUGUCUCCAUCUUUAUUCCUUCCAGCUCAUUCUCUACAUGACACUGUGAAUGCCAAACUGUCUGGAGGCUGCCAUGAGCGGCCAAUUUGUGAUCUCUGCUUUACCUGAAUUAUUUCCGUGAAUUGUGACAUCAACCUCGCCAGAUAAGAAAGAAGACUGAAGUUCAGAGAGGUGAAGGGACUGGCUCAGGGGCUACCCCUAUGGUUGCGGGAGCUAAGAUUCCAGCCCAGCAGCGUGAUCCAGAGCCCAUCUGAGCUACCCAGAUCUUCCUGCUGUUAAACCCGUCCUGGGGCAGCUCUUGCCUGAUGGGCUACCUGAGGAACCCACAGGAAAUCAAGGGAGGUGCCUGCAAAGUUGCCGUGGGGUCACAGCCUGCCCUUUGGAAGGGGCUGUUUCUGGGCUGCUGUGACUUCCUGCCAUUAUUUCCUCUCUGUUCUCCCUCUGGAAUGAAUAAAGUACUUCUGAAAAACCAUCAACCCAGUCGAUACGGAAAUGCUGGUCCCUACAAUAGAAUGCUCUGUGGUCAUUAAAAAGAUUAAAAAGGUCAA
rnacentral:lncRNA from 10 species